UACGAAGGGGGCUAGCGUUGCUCGGAAUCACUGGGCGUAAAGCGCACGUAGGCGGCUUGUUAAGUCAGGGGUGAAAUCCUGGAGCUCAACUCCAGAACUGCCUUUGAUACUGAUGAGCUUGAGUUCGGGAGAGGUGAGUGGAACUGCGAGUGUAGAGGUGAAAUUCGUAGAUAUCGCAAGAACACCAAGUGGCGAAGGCGGACUCACUGG
rnacentral:rRNA from 1 species